CGACGUGGGUAAUCUACCCUCAAAUUGGGGAUAACCCGCCGAAAGGCGGGCUAAUACCGAAUGAUAUCUUGAAAACUUAUGUUUUCAGGAUCAAAGGUGGCCUCUACAUGUAAGCUAUUGUUUGGGGAUGAGCCCGCGUACCAUUAGCUUGUUGGUAGGGUAAUGGCCUACCAAGGCUACGAUGGUUAGCUGGUCUGAGAGGAUGAUCAGCCACACUGGAACUGACACACGGUCCAG
rnacentral:rRNA from 1 species